AAAUGGGGGGAAAAAAAGUCAGCGGCGGGAGAUGAGUCAAGGUUAAAAGGUCAUCGUACUUCUGUAGCGCGUCUGCCUGUGUUGUGACGUGUGUCGCCGCAGCAUGUCUGUUUCGUUCUGAAUCAACAGUUUCCUGCUGUUGUGGAUGACGCUGUAUGGAGAUUUUAUCUCACGACUUUCCACCCAUUCAUUUUCUAUCGCGCUUGUCUUCGUUCGGUUCGAAGGGAUGCUGCAGUGGAGUCUAUCCCGCAUGACUUUAGGCGCGACCCUGGAUUGGUUGCCAGCCGAUUGGUUAAACAACCACUCACAAUCCUAUUCACAGUAUGCAGUGGUGCCUUGGAGGUACGAGUGACUCGACCGACUCGUUUUUUUCCACCAAACCCAGAAAACAGAUGUCGGUGACGUCUUCCUGUCCGCCGCAUGCCGUCCGCCCACUCCCAUUUAAUGCGACCCGCAUGUUCCACCCGGCCGGCGUCAGCACAUCUGAGGACCGGGCAGGAAAACACUGACGCGGCACAGAGGCGAACGUCCCACCCCUGCAGUGCUUUUGCUGUCUACGCGGCUAUUUCACAACACUGGAAGCCAGGGUUGGGCCAACUUUUGUGCUCGAGAGGCACGUUUGAUUUUUAACACAGACAAGCGUGCCAGGUCACAAGUAAACUAAACACAGUUAAAAUCUGCAUGCCGAAUAAUUUCAUUUUUAAAUAAUUUUUAAAAUUCUGAAUUAUUAUGACAGUGAUACUUUCAGAAGUCUUAAAAAAAGAGGCUUCAAACUGUCAUUGCCACUCCCACUUUUGUGAUCACGCCAAACAAAAAACAGAAUUACAUUUUGCGGAUGUAAAUUAACCGCGUAGCUCUGCCUUUCAGCCUUCUAGCGUAAUGCUAACAUGUACUAACAAUGCAU